ACUGUUGUCUUUUUUUCUGGAAAGAAAGACAGUUUUCUGAAAUGGAUAAAGUUGCUUUUCUUUCUCAAUGGUUCAUAAACAUGGGACCAUUAACAGACUUCUUGUCAGAUUUAUUCCCACUCAGUCACAACCCACCAGUUGUGGGUAACCAGCAUGUACGGGUGAUCCAAGAAGGCAGAAGCCAAGCUCCUUCCCUGCAGAGCACUCUUCAAGCUCACUGCAGGGCUCACAGUGAGUAGUGGCACUAAUGCACACAUCACAGGCUCAGGGCCUCGGGUACCAACACUAGUGAUAUUGCAUUAGGGUGGUGCCAGCUAACUAUGAACUCCUAGAGAAAUACUUAAAUAUGGCUGAAGACUGAAGCCAAUAUGGAAGGCAGGAAAGACUUAGAAUAAGCCAUCUUUGGUAGUACAAAAGAAGCUGAGUUCCAGUGAAGGAUGGGUGGGAUGCAGAUGUCAAGCUGUACAAACUGAGGUGAUGUAGUAUUUUUGUAGUUAGCAUCAGGGAAGACUUCCUGAAGGACAAAAACUGGUGGGAAAGAGAAUUCUUGGUUCAUGGGGAUCCUAAGUAAAAAUAUGUCAGGAUGAAAAAGACUGAUUUUCAGUAUACUGAAGAAUAGUAGAACACUGAUGAAGGAUGAUGAGCCUAGGACGUGGCAAAAAUGAAAGCUAUCAGAACAAGGGAAGGCAGGCAUUAUUGAAAAGGUUUACUGCUGCUAGGUAGCAGAGAUUCAUUGAAAAAGUGGACUCUGAGGAGAAGCAGACAGAUUUGAGUUGCCAUAAAACAAUCACACAAUCAACUUUGCAGCUAAAGGACAUAAAAGGGCUGAGAUGCAGCAAGAAAUUAAAGUGGAAGGUAUCUGUUCUGAAGUGUAAAACAGACAGGAUUUGAAUUAGACCAAGGGCUGCAGGCACACACAGGACAAAGCAGAAGACAUAAUAAUUAGUGACUCAGUGAUCUGUUGAAGGAAGGAGCACUAAUCACCCUGGCAGACUCGGCCGCGGAAGGAGAAAAUUUUAAGAGGGAAUAAAGUUCCAUUUGGGGUCUCUGAUUUCUGCUGCUUUAGAAAACCAUAUACAGACAGUCAGCAGAUUAUCGCAUAUACUGGUUUUAAACAAAAAUAGAAAAACAAAUGUUAGGUAUAAUAGAAUGUAAAUUAUAAGUAAUGUGAAAAGUAGCUGAUAUAGCAAGAGAUUAUACAAUGGUUGCCCAAGACAGACCCAACAUAAAUCCCUUAUUUUGAGGGAUAGUUAAACAAAACAAAAUAAAACAAGCAAACAAAAAAAACUCAAGCAAACACAAAAUCCCAGCCCAAAGGGAAGUUAAAAGAGCACUGGGUGCUGGAAAGUGAGGCCCCAAGUUCAGUUCCCAUCACUCAUGUUGCACAGUGCCUAUAACUGCAGACCCAGGAGAUCAGCACCCUCUUCUGGUCUCUGCAGGCACCUGCAAACAUGUGGCAAUUACACACACACACACACACACACACACACACACGCAUGCACGAAGACACACCUUUUUUUAGUAUUGGAUGCUAAAAGCCAGAAGAAAGCAUUUUGUAUCACAUCAUGAUACACAGCACAGGCUGCUGAGAAUGCAGGAGGCAGGCAGUCUGAGAAGUAAGCUGAGAUGAUACAUCACUUCUCCAAGAGGUUGACAUGAAGGCCAGGAGAGUCUCAGAAUGUUAAGGUACAGGGGCCUUCAAAGAAGUUAAUUCCAAUAUGGAAAUUAAACUUUUAUUAUUAAUUCAAAGAGAACAAUCCAGCUUAUAGGUAAGAUUAAAAAAAACAAAUGGACAAUUUCAUGAUAUUAAUAAGAUCACUGUUUGUAUGCCAAGUGAUUAAUGUCUAAGAAAAACAUAGCAAUGAUGAGACUUAGAAGGAUGGGCUCCAACUUCUGCUACUUAGCACAGUUUUGAUCCCGAGCAACUCACUUGGCAGCUCUGUUCUCAAUUUCCCCUCAACACAAAGGUGGCAAUAGCACAGCUUCUAUCAUAGGCCCCGUGAGAACUUAAUAAGCAUAGCAUACACAGAGCGUACAUAUAACACAGCACUGGCUUAUAGACAGUUCAGAAACUUGUCUUCAUGGAAGAUCUCGGGUAAAAACUACAGUGUUUCAAUAACUUAAGAUACCCAUUUCAACUGGGCCUCGUGUUGUAGGCCUGGCAGUGCCCAUUGGGGAAGCUGAGGUAGUAGGUCACAGCGGCAUGAUGGGCUACAUUUAGAGACCUUAUCUCAAGCAAAUAAAACAGAAGGCCACUGCUUUUUCCAGCUCUGGGGUCAAACCCACUGCCCUGUCUACCCAUUCACUCCUCCUAGCUCCACCCCUCUCCCCCAGCACCGCACUGUUCAAUGGCAGAAAUGGUUACCCAGUUACGACAAGUACUGAUGGAAUGCUGGCAGAACCGGUUCAUGAUUCCCUUCAAUAAAUAGGCUACUAUUUGUCCACACAGAUGUAAAAGCACUGACAAUGAACAGAUUAUAAAACGCACAUAUACAUAUAAUACAACUCAGAAAGGGAAAAAGCAAGGGCUCAGUUGUAACUUCCAAUUGGAAGGAAUCCUCCUCUUCAGUGGCACUGAGAUACACCUCUCAUUAAUUUCUGUAACCAAGUGCACACUGCAGAGACUUGCUAAUCUCUGUGUCAAAAUGAAUUAAACAUAACUCUGAAUAGUAAUGUGUUAUAAUGUUGUCUCCCUUUUGAAUUUACAUGUGCAGUAGUCUUUAACGAUACAGUAUAUAAUUCUUCCAGCCAAUCCAGAGACAAAAAGAUUCAAUUAUUCCACAGAUCUAUAACCAGCUACUUAUUUCCCUUAUAUAUCAGAAUUUCAUUACUGUUACAACAGAAACAAAGUCAGCAUACAGUAAAAGAUCUUAUGAUCGAUAAUGUGCCCAGGGAAUUGAGGGAAAUGCAUAAAAAUACAUUAAAUUCCAUUACAUGGUGUCUCACUACUGAGAGGAGGGCUGUCACCUUUUAUACCAAACAAGAGCCCUUUCAUUUCCUUUAACAGGGGAAACAAACAUCCGUAAAGCUAGCUUUAAAGCAAAACGAUGAAAAUGUAGAUCCACAAUUAAGGCAGGAGUAAAUGAACUGAAUUAAUAUCAGGUCUGCAAGUUGGUAGAUGGAGUAAUUGUUCACCGGGUCCAAAUUUACAUUCAGAAAUGUCACACACAUUUUAAUUUAGUGGUACCACACCUAGGAAAAGAAAAAAAAAAAAGAAAGAAAAAAAAACAAAACUUCUUUUAAGUCUAUUAAGACUAUGUCAACGGCAAAUGAGUGUGCAGUCAUAUCUCAUAUUCAUCCCUGUUAUCUUCAUUAUCUCUCUCCCUUCCUCUAAGUGAGUCACCAGGCAGUCACAAAUACCAGAAAGCACAAAACUGAAACUCGUCAUUGAAAAUAGUUAACAGAUAUUAAGCAAUUAAGACAACAUUCAAAUUUUUACUUUUAAAAAUUAUUAAUUUGUGGCAUCAAGGUGGGAGAGGAACCCACCUUUUCUGUUGCUCAGUAAAUUCUCAUUAUCACUAUAUGUAAUUAUAGUGACUGUGUAUAUAUUAAAGAUUAUUCCUACAUAAAACAUUAAUAGCAAUAAUCCAGGAGGGAGUAGAGUACAAUAACUGAGUAUCACAAUUCUUGUACCGAAGCACUGAAAACAAGUGUCAUGUUAAAGGUGAAACAAUACUCUCAGGAAACCACAUAUAAAACCCAUCUCAUGCAAUUGUGUUACAUCACGUGACAAGUUAGUAGCUAUUCCAGAAGCUGACAAUGUUGUUUCUCAAUUAGUAAGAAGUCAAAAUAGUGAGAAAAAAAAAAUCAGUCACAGGGAAGCAGCUAAACUGCAUCAUGCUGUUUGAUGGAGAUAAUAUGACUCCCUGUGUUGAAAUGAAAGGUCACGUAGUAAGGUAGAGAUGGUGUCUUUGUUACCCUUCCCCCAAAUCUGGCAUUGGAACAGUGAACACAAAGAAAUGAAGGAGUUACCCCCAACUCAGGGCUGAGCUCUGGGUUUGUACCAAUCACAGUCUAGCUACCACUGCUGGUUGGGUUAGACCCUUACAAAGGCGUGAUUAUUUGCUUGAGCCAACAACAACCUGGGCUCGACGUGCAAAGAAAAGCAGAUUUUAAAUAACUUGGUAUGAAUUGAACACCUGAGGCGACUGUCACGUAUAAUCUAUACAGGCCACCACUGCCACUAAACUUGUACAUUCCAGUACAUUCACUUCGCCCCUCUUCACAAGAUGGCACUGAGCCACCUGAAACAAUGUGUUUUUAAAAAUGCGAACUUGUAUGCCAACUACACAUCCCUCACUUAGCUGGCAAAAGAUAAUCAUAAAGGACAACUCUGCACUAUGAUCGCUAAACCCGGACCCUUUCCUUGGUCUUGUUUUUCUGCUGGAGUCUUUCCUAUGUAAACUGCUGAGGUAAAGGUACAGCCAGCCCGGUCCCAAGUUCAUUUCCUAAGUGAACCCCGCAGCUCCACCAAACACACAGGCUUCCCUUUCUGAGGUCAGGAAGUGGGAUGUCCCCACGGAAGGAGCAACAAACAAGCGGGAGAAAGCAACAAGACAUCCAUCAAGUCUCCAAGUCUAACGACACCCGAGAGCCAGCGCUGCUCGGCCUCCUCGGAGGGCUCACAAUCCCUCUGAAAGGGGGGGAAAGAGAGCGGAGGAGAAAACGAGGGUGAGCGUCUACCUCAAAGCCCAGAAAUACUGCUGUUGUGUAUAUACUGAAAGGAUGCUCAAUCAUACCACAAGGACAUGUGCUCAACUAUGUUCAUAGAAGCACUAUUUAUAAUAGCCAGAGCCUGAAAACGACCUACAUAUCCCUCAACCAAGAAUUGGAUAAAGAAAAUGUGUUGAAAUUUAAGCUGUUUCGAGAUGGAGACAGAGACCCACACUAGAGCACCGGACUGAGCUCCCAAUGUCCCAAGGAGGAGCAGAAGGAGGGAAAAUAUGAGCAAAGAAGUCAGGACCACGAGGGGUGCACCCACCCACGGAGACAGUGGGGCUGAUCUAUUGUGAGCUCACCAAGGCCAGCUGGACUGCGACUGAAAAAGCAUGGGAUAAAACCGGACUCUCUGAAUAUGGCGGACAAUGAGGGCUGCUGAGAAGCCAAGGACAAUGCCACUGGGUUUUGAUCCUACUUCAUGUUCUGGCUUUGUGGGAGCCUAGCCAGUUUGGAUGUCCACCUUCCUAGACCAGGAUGGAGCGGGGAGGACUUUGGACUUUCUACAGGGCAGGGAACCCUGACUGCUCUUUGGA